GCCGAAACGAAUGGAAUAUUAUCUUGCUCCCUUCUCAAACGUUGUCCUUCCAUUUGCCCGAUAAACGCGAGAACUUCGUCGUCGUCCUCGGAGCCUUACUGAGAAGAAUGGCGUUAUUAUCUUGGACAGCUUGAACAGCCGGAGCAGCCUCAACAACAAAAGCAGCCUCAACUACAGGAGCAGCCUCAACUACAGGAUCGGCAGCUUCAACAACGGGAGCAUUUUGCUCCUCACCAUCUCCCAAUUCUAAAUUCAUAACGGGCCACGAAGGCCCAACGUGCAAUCAUGAGAUGAUUUCUUGAUGAAUUCGCUAUCCGGGACGGAUCGUCAGUCCGUCGCCUGAGAGGAGGAUGGUAUUUUACCGGACGGUUGCUCGCCUGGCAGUCUUUAUUUAGUACUAUUGUCGGUAUACCUAUG